CCAUGCCGCGUGAGUGAAGAAGGCCUUCGGGUUGUAAAGCUCUUUCGGCGGGAAGAAAUUGCACGGGUUAAUACCCUGUGUAGAUGACGGUACCCGAAUAAGAAGCACCGGCUAACUACGUGCCAGCAGCCGCGGUAAUACGUAGGGUGCGAGCGUUAAUCGGAAUUACUGGGCGUAAAGCGUGCGCAGGCGGUUUGGUAAGUCAGAUGUGAAAUCCCCGGGCUCAACCUGGGAACUGCAUUUGAGACUGCCAGGCUGGAGUUUGGCAGAGGGGGGUGGAAUUCCACGUGUAGCAGUGAAAUGCGUAGAGAUGUGGAGGAACACCGAUGGCGAAGGCAGCCCCCUGGGCCAAUACUGACGCUCAUGCACGAAAGCGUGGGGAGCAAACAGGAUUAGAUACCCUGGUAGUCCACGCCCUAAACGAUGUCAACUAGGUGUUGGGAGGGUUAAACCUUUUAGUGCCGUAGCUAACGCGUGAAGUUGACCGCCUGGGGAGUACGGCCGCAAGGCUAAAACUCAAAGGAAUUGACGGGGC
rnacentral:rRNA from 1 species